rnacentral:rRNA from 1 species
GCGUUUGCAGGUAAACAGAUGGACCCACGAAGUCCAGUUGAGUAGAGAAUUCAAAUUUUUUAAUUUGAUCAGCAAUUAUUGUCUUUCACUUUCUCUGAAAGUAAGCGAUAGUGUUUGAUUGAUUAAGAGAUGCAUUUUCUCUACUCACGACGGAGCUCUGACCGUUUAAACUCGACUUUAACUACGUAGGGUAGCCUUAAUUUGUGGUUGAGUUUUUCGAAACUUGUCUCACGUUAUUGAGGUUCGUAAGUGAAGUCAUAUUGAACGGUUGAAUUUCUUACUUAAUUGUGAGUAUAUUCAGUUUGUUGUUUGAUAUUCUAAAUAAAAUUGAAUGAUACAUUAAGAUUGUCUUUCGACUUUUACAGUUGAAGUCAACUUAAUUUUUGCGAUCGUUCAGUAAAUUUUAUUUACAGUCUAUCAUUGACAAUAAUCCAGAGUAAGUAGGUCGGUCAUCCAUCUGACCCGUCUUGAAACACGGACCAAGGAGCUCAACAUUUGCGCAAGUCGCUCGGUCUUGAAUAGGCCUGAGAGGCGAAAUAAACAUAAUAGUAUGAUCCUUAUUUGUUUGUUUUUACAGUUCACUGUGAAUACUUACAAUGAGGCGCAAUACUGACCUGCUUAUUAUGCUUAACGGCAUUUAAGCGGAGUUUGAGCGUAAAUGUUGAUACCCGAAAGAUGGUGAACUAUACUUGGGCAGGACGAAGCCAGAGGAAACUCUGGUGGAGGUCUGUCGCGGUUCUGACGUGCAAAUCGAUCGUCAGACCUGAGUAUAGGGGCGAAAGACUAAUCGAACCAUCUAGUAGCUGGUUCCUUCCGAAGUUUCCCUCAGGAUAGCUGGUACUAAAUUAAACUCUGUAGCAUCCGGUAAAGCGAAUGAUUAGAGGUCUUGGGAUCGAAACGAUCUCAACCUAUUCUCAAACUUUAAAUGGGUGCGAGGCUUGACUUUUUUGCUCUGAAGUCUUGCUUUGUAAGAGUUAGUACCAAGUGGGCCAUUUUUGGUAAGCAGAACUGGCGCUGUGGGAUGAACCAAACGUCGAGAUAAGGCACCAAAUGCCGACGCUCAUGAGACCCCAUGAAAGGUGUUGGUUGCUAUAGACAGC